UGUAUAUUUUUUUCUAGUUGAGUUUAGCAGCAUUCAUGGCUUCUUCACCUUUAAGAUUUAUUGAUUGUGUUAUGAAACAAAUUAUCAGACAAAACUUCAUAACCAACUUAAAAUUAAAGCUCCGAGCUUUAUCAACUCUCAUCAGUUCCGGUGUUCGCUUUUGAAGCAAAAUGACCUUGGUCAGUAAAAAUCUCGACCUUCAGGAAUUGAAUGCUGACAGGAUGUGGCCUACAAGUUCUGGGAGAAAGCUUUUUCUCACUCACUGUCCCGCUGUGACUUGAUUUCUUUAUGCGCCCAGUGGCUCAGGGUUAAGUGUGAAACCGGAUGUCUCUGGAUCUAUAUCCUUUUCAGGAUCUGGAAGAAUUAUGUUCAUUCUAAGACCUCUUUCUCCCUCCCUUGCUGACGUUAUUACCCCUCGUAGAGCUGUUUCUACACUAUCUAACUUUACUGUUAAAUGCUAGACGUUACAGAUGAGGGUUGUAUAUUUCUUGAUAGUCU